UGGCCUUGACAUAGACAGAAUUUAGUAGAGAUAUAAAAGUGCCAGUUUACUGGAGCUGUUAUACAGGUGCUGCACGGCUGUCGUCAGCUCGUGUCGUGAGAUGUUGGGUUAAGUCCCGCAACGAGCGCAACCCACGUCAUUAGUUACUAACGGUUCGGCCGAGGACUCUAAUGAGACUGCCUGGGUAACCAGGAGGAAGGUGUGGACGACGUCAAGUCAUCAUGGCCCUUACGGCCAGGGCUACACACGUGCUACAAUGGGGUAUACAGAGAGCAGCGAUACCGCGAGGUGGAGCAAAUCUUUAAAAUAUCUCCCAGUUCGGAUAGCACUCUGCAACUCGAGUGCUUGAAGUUGGAAUCGCUAGUAAUCGUAGAUCAGCAAUGCUACGGUGAAUACGUUCCCGGGUCU
rnacentral:rRNA from 1 species